rnacentral:lncRNA from 1 species
CACUUGAGAUCGGGAGUUGGAGACCAGCCUGGCCAACAUGAAUCCUGAUCUGGGCUACCCUAUCUGUGCUUCUGGUGAGGUGGGCCCAGAACCAUCGUGUGAAUAAUGAUUGACCUCAGCUAGUGGUUCUCAUGGAGUGAUUGAUUUUGCUUCCCAGAGGACAUCAGCAAUGUCUGGAGACAUUUCCAGUUGUCACUACUUGAGAGGAAGCGUGAUCGGCCUCUAGAAGGGAGAGACCAGGGAUGCCGCUGCUCAAUAUCCUAUAAUGCACAGAACAGCUUCUACGACAAAGAGUUAUUCCACCAAAAAUGUCAGUAGUGCCAAGGUUGAGAGAACCUGCUCUAGGGUAAUCAGUGUGGUCCCAAUCUCCCUGUCAGUAACUGAUUCAACUCACAUAAUAAUCUUAUGGGAGUGUGAUGUAAUUCUAGCCAAUAAAAUGCAAUGGGAAGUUGGCCGAGAUACUUCUGAAAAAAUCUUCUCUUACCCCUAAAAAGAGACAUUCAUUUUCUGUUGAAAUGCAUUACUUUCCUAAAUAAAAUCAUAUUUACCAACAACGAGAAAAAGAGAAACAUGCAAGAAACCAUCUGUUUGCUGCUAGAUGCCAUUGUGUCUGCAAUGUGAUAUCUGGAACUAUGGCUGUCAUCCUGGAACCAUGAGAGGAGUUAGCUGAAGAAACAGGAGGAUGGCAAAGCGGAAGGAUGGAAGUUACCUGAGGCUGAGGACAUCAGUGCACCUCUGAUUUAACCAAUCCUUGAGACUUCUUGUUAUAUGAGAUAAUAAAUUCUAUUGCUAUUUAAGUCAUG